rnacentral:rRNA from 1 species
AGCUCCAAUAGCGUAUAUUAAAGUUGUUGCAGUUAAAAAGCUCGUAGUUGGAUUUCUGUUUUUCAUUUUCGGUCCGUUUCCUUUGUGAAAUGUGUACUUUGGAAAUGAAAUUCAUUUUUUGUGAGGACCCUGAACUGGCAUUAAGUUGUCUGGUUUUGUGGACUUGCAUCGUUUACUGUGAAAAAAUUAGAGUGUUUAAAGCAGGCGUUUGCAUUUGAAUACAUUAGCAUGGAAUAAUAAAAUACGACACUGGUGGUCUAUUUUGUUGGUUUGCACACCAGAGUAAUGAUUAAUAGGGACAGUUGGGGGUAUUCGUAUUCCUGUGGAAGAGGUGAAAUUCUUGGAUCACAGGAAGACGAUCUUAGGCGAAAGCAUUUACCAUGGAUGUUUUCAUUAAUCA